UUGUUGAAGACCACCGGGAUUGCCUCAGUAACGGCGAGUGAAGCGGCAAGAGCUCAAAUUUGAAAUCUGGCCCCCCCGGGGUCCGAGUUGUAAUUUGGAGAGGAUGCUUCGGGCGCCGUUCCCGUCUAAGUGCCCCUGGAACGGGCUGUCGCAGAGGGUGAGAACCCCGUCUGGGACGGGCGACGGCGCCCGUGUGAAGCUCCUUCGACGAGUCGAGUUGUUUGGGAAUGCAGCUCUAAGCGGGUGGUAAAUUUCAUCUAAAGCUAAAUACUGGCCGGAGACCGAUAGCCCACAAUUAGAGUGAUCGAAAGAUUAA
rnacentral:rRNA from 1 species